UUGAUGAUUAUUGGAGAAUUGUUGGGAUCCUACAUAAAAAAUUGUCAAGUUUUGAUAAAAAGAAUUGGAGGGUUUCAUAUAAGGCUGUGAUAGUGUUGGAACACUUGUUGACUCAUGGACCUGAAAGUGUUGCUGAGGAAUUUCAAAGUGAUAAAGGUGUUAUUAGGGAAAUGGGAAGCUUUCAACUCAUUGAUGAGAAAGGAUUCAACUGGGGGCUAAAUGUUAGGAAGAAAUCUGAGAGGAUAUUGAAGCUGUUAGAAGAUGGACAACUUCUCAAAGAAGAGAGGAACAAAUCAAGGAAGAUAUCAAGAGGGAUUGAAGGUUUUGGGAGCUUUAACAUUAGGAGGACUACUAGUUCAGAGGAAGAAUCAGCAAUUAAACCUUAUGGAAGGUCUAAUUCACAGUUUAAUCAUCAUGAAAAUGA
rnacentral:misc_RNA from 1 species